AGUUUGUAUACCGCUGUUGUCAGUUAGUUUCUUUAGAAAGCUUUCUAUCAUGAGAAAAUCAUAGACUUCAAGUAAAGGUGCAGCUUAUAUAAAAGAUAGAGGUGGGUUACAUUUAUAAGAUUAAAACGAAUAAAGUUUAUGAAAUAACUUUUAAAGGUGGAUUUAAUUGUAAAGUUUAAGAAAACUUGAUGUGAGCUCUAUCUUGUGUACAC
rnacentral:rRNA from 1 species